GACGAACGCUGGCGGCGUGCUUAACACAUGCAAGUCGAACGGAAAGGCCCUGCUUUUGUGGGGUGCUCGAGUGGCGAACGGGUGAGUAACACGUGAGUAACCUGCCCUUGACUUUGGGAUAACUUCAGGAAACUGGGGCCAAUACCGGAUAGGAGCUCCUGCUGCAUGGUGGGGGUUGGAAAGUUUCGGCGGUUGGGGAUGGACUCGCGGCUUAUCAGCUUGUUGGUGGGGUAGUGGCUUACCAAGGCUUUGACGGGUAGCCGGCCUGAGAGGGUGACCGGCCACAUUGGGACUGAGAUACGGCCCAGACUCCUACGGGAGGCAGCAGUGGGGAAUAUUGCACAAUGGGCGGAAGCCUGAUGCAGCAACGCCGCGUGCGGGAUGACGGCCUUCGGGUUGUAAACCGCUUUCGCCUGUGACGAAGCGUGAGUGACGGUAAUGGGUAAAGAAGCACCGGCUAACUACGUGCCAGCAGCCGCGGUGAUACGUAGGGUGCGAGCGUUGUCCGGAUUUAUUGGGCGUAAAGGGCUCGUAGGUGGUUGAUCGCGUCGGAAGUGUAAUCUUGGGGCUUAACCCUGAGCGUGCUUUCGAUACGGGUUGACUUGAGGAAGGUAGGGGAGAAUGGAAUUCCUGGUGGAGCGGUGGAAUGCGCAGAUAUCAGGAGGAACACCAGUGGCGAAGGCGGUUCUCUGGGCCUUUCCUGACGCUGAGGAGCGAAAGCGUGGGGAGCGAACAGGCUUAGAUACCCUGGUAGUCCACGCUGUAAACGGUGGGUACUAGGUGUGGGGUCCAUUCCACGGGUUCCGUGCCGUAGCUAACGCUUUAAGUACCCCGCCUGGGGAGUACGGCCGCAAGGCUAAAACUCAAAGGAAUUGACGGGGCCCCGCACAAGCGGCGGAGCAUGCGGAUUAAUUCGAUGCAACGCGUAGAACCUUACCUGGGUUUGACAUGGAUCGGGAGUGCUCAGAGAUGGGUGUGCCUCUUUUGGGGUCGGUUCACAGGUGGUGCAUGCCUGUCGUCAGCUCGUGUCGUGAGAUGUUGGGUUAAGUCCCGCAACGAGCGCAACCCUUGUUCACUGUUGCCAGCACGUUAUGGUGGGGACUCAGUGGAGACCGCCGGGGUCAACUCGGAGGAGGGUGGGGAUGACGUCAAGUCAUCAUGCCCCUUAUGUCCAGGGCUUCACGCAUGCUACAAUGGCUGGUACAGAGAGUGGCGAGCCUGUGAGGGUGAGCGAAUCUCGGAAAGCCGGUCUCAGCUCGGAUUGGGGUCUGCAACUCGACCUCAUGAAGUCGGAGUCGCUAGUAAUCGCAGAUCAGCAACGCUGCGGUGAAUACGUUCCCGGGGCU
rnacentral:rRNA from 1 species